AGUCGAGCGAGGUUACUGUUUUGGAUCCCUUCGGGGUGAGGAAGCUUUAACCUAGCGGCGGACGGGUGAGUAACGCGUGGGUAACCUACCCCAAAGUCCGGGAUAACAGCGGGAAACCGCUGCUAAUACCGGAUGCCUUUACCUUGGGGCAUCUUGAGGUAAAGAAAGGUAACGCUUUGGGAUGGGCCCGCGUCCCAUUAGCUAGUUGGUGAGGUAACGGCUCACCAAGGCGACGAUGGGUAGCCGGCCUGAGAGGGUGGACGGCCACACUGGGACUGAGACACGGCCCAGACUCCUACGGGAGGCAGCAGUAGGGAAUAUUGCGCAAUGGACGGAAGUCUGACGCAGCGACGCCGCGUGAGCGAUGAAGGUCUUCGGAUCGUAAAGCUCUGUCCUUGGGGAAGAAGGCGAAAGCUUGACGGUACCCAAGAAGAAAGCCCCGGCUAACUACGUGCCAGCAGCCGCGGUAAUACGUAGGGGGCGAGCGUUGUCCGGAAUUACUGGGCGUAAAGGGUGCGUAGGCGGCCCUUUAAGUCGGAUGUGAAAGCCCGCGGCUUAACCGCGGAAUGGCAUUCGAAACUGGAGGGCUUGAGUGUCGGAGAGGGUAGUGGAAUUCCCAGUGUAGCGGUGAAAUGCGUAGAUAUUGGGAGGA
rnacentral:rRNA from 1 species